GACGAACGCUGGCGGCGUGCCUAAUACAUGCAAGUUGAGCGCUGAAGGUUGGUACUUGUACCUACUGGAUGAGCAGCGGACGGGUGAGUAACGCGUGGAGAAUCUGCCUUUGAGCGGGGGACAACAUUGGGAAACGAAUGCUAAUACCGCAUAAAAUCUUUAACCACAAGUUUUAAGUGUGAAAGAUGCAAUUGCAUCACUCAAAGAAGAUACCGGCUUGUCUUUACUUGUUGGUGAGGUAAAGGCUCACCAAGGCGAAGGUUCCUAGCCCGCCUUGGAGGGGGAUCCGCCACAUUGGGACCGAGGCCCGGCCCCAACUCCCUAGGGGAGCAGCCGUAAGGGAUCUUCGGCCAUGGACGGAAGUCUUACCGGGCAACGCCGCGUGAGUGAAGAAGGGUUUCGGGUCCGAAAACUUUGUUGGUUGGGAAGAACGUUGGUUGGAGUUAAAUGCGCAUCUAUUGACGGUAACUACCCAGAAAGGGACGGCUAACUACGUG
rnacentral:rRNA from 1 species